AGAGUUUGAUCCUGGCUCAGGACGAACGCUGGCGGCGUGCCUAAUACAUGCAAGUAGAACGCUGAAGAGAGGAGCUUGCUCUUCUUGGAUGAGUUGCGAACGGGUGAGUAACGCGUAGGUAACCUGCCUUGUAGCGGGGGAUAACUAUUGGAAACGAUAGCUAAUACCGCAUAACAAUGGAUGACACAUGUCAUUUAUUUGAAAGGGGCAAUUGUUCCACUACAAGAUGGACCUGCGUUGUAUUAGCUAGUAGGUGAGGUAAUGGCUCACCUAGGCGACGAUACAUAGCCGACCUGAGAGGGUGAUCGGCCACACCGGGACUGAGACACGGCCCAGACUCCUACGGGAGGCAGCAGUAGGGAAUCUUCGGCAAUGGGGGCAACCCUGACCGAGCAACGCCGCGUGAGUGAAGAAGGUUUUCGGAUCGUAAAGCUCUGUUGUAAGUCAAGAACGGGUGUGAGAGUGGAAAGUUCACACUGUGACGGUAGCUUACCAGAAAGGGACGGCUAACUACGUGCCAGCAGCCGCGGUAAUACGUAGGUCCCGAGCGUUGUCCGGAUUUAUUGGGCGUAAAGCGAGCGCAGGCGGUUUGAUAAGUCUGAAGUUAAAGGCUGUGGCUCAACCAUAGUUCGCUUUGGAAACUGUCAAACUUGAGUGCAGAAGGGGAGAGUGGAAUUCCAUGUGUAGCGGUGAAAUGCGUAGAUAUAUGGAGGAACACCGGUGGCGAAAGCGGCUCUCUGGUCUGUAACUGACGCUGAGGCUCGAAAGCGUGGGGAGCGAACAGGAUUAGAUACCCUGGUAGUCCACGCCGUAAACGAUGAGUGCUAGGUGUUGGAUCCUUUCCGGGAUUCAGUGCCGCAGCUAACGCAUUAAGCACUCCGCCUGGGGAGUACGACCGCAAGGUUGAAACUCAAAGGAAUUGACGGGGGCCCGCACAAGCGGUGGAGCAUGUGGUUUAAUUCGAAGCAACGCGAAGAACCUUACCAGGUCUUGACAUCCCGAUGCUAUUUCUAGAGAUAGAAAGUUACUUCGGUACAUCGGUGACAGGUGGUGCAUGGUUGUCGUCAGCUCGUGUCGUGAGAUGUUGGGUUAAGUCCCGCAACGAGCGCAACCCCUAUUGUUAGUUGCCAUCAUUCAGUUGGGCACUCUAGCGAGACUGCCGGUAAUAAACCGGAGGAAGGUGGGGAUGACGUCAAAUCAUCAUGCCCCUUAUGACCUGGGCUACACACGUGCUACAAUGGUUGGUACAACGAGUUGCGAGUCGGUGACGGCGAGCUAAUCUCUUAAAGCCAAUCUCAGUUCGGAUUGUAGGCUGCAACUCGCCUACAUGAAGUCGGAAUCGCUAGUAAUCGCGGAUCAGCACGCCGCGGUGAAUACGUUCCCGGGCCUUGUACACACCGCCCGUCACACCACGAGAGUUUGUAACACCCGAAGUCGGUGAGGUAACCUUUUGGAGCCAGCCGCCUAAGGUGGGACAGAUGAUUGGGGUGAAGUCGUAACAAGGUA
rnacentral:rRNA from 1 species